ACAUGAUGCCCAGCACCCGGAGGAGCAGGGCCCCAUCGCUGAGGCGCAGGAAUCUCUUCUCCAACCAAAGGGGCGGCUCUUCCUCCUCUUCCUCUUCUUCCCCCUCCGAGUCCUCCGCCUCCCCGACCAGCCCGGCCAGUCCCAGCGCCUGUGAGGAGCCCAGAGGGGUCAGCCGACCAGCAGAGUGAACCCUGAGCCCCUCCGACCUGCCCCACAUCUCUGCAGGGCUAGCCCAGAGGUUGGCGGCGGAAGGCCCACAGCUCCCCUGGCUCCAUGGGCAAUGACCGAACAGCCCUUCACCUCUCUGGGCCUUGUUUUCUCAAACUGAAACUGGAGAGGAUGACCCCAGCCUGGGACCUUCGAGGGCCUCAAAAGGGCUCUGGGCCUUGCGUGGCUGGACGAUGAAUGUGAUGGCUGGAACUCAAGCAGCCACAGUGGAUCAUAAGGGACGGUGUCUUGCUAUGUUGUCCAAGCUGGUCUCAAACUGGCCUGAAUCAAUGCUUCCACCUCAGCUGCCAGAGGAACCGGGAUUACAGGCCUGAGCCACUGCAGCCAGCCAGUUUGUUAUUUUAAUGUAAAUUCUUAGUAAACAACUCAGGAGCUCUCUUGUCCUUUUAAAAUCCAUUUCAACUUCUGCUAAUCGGAGUGUAUAUUCAGGGCAACUUGAAUCUGUGCUCCUGGGAUGCAAUCCUCAAGCUUGGCCCAAAUAAAGUCUCCGCUGAUAUUAAUUUUGCCUAGGCUUCUUCCUUUUAGGUCAACACUCUUCAGGCUCAUGUUGGGGUCUGUUCAGCUGCGUUUCAAAGGGACUCUAGACCCAGGAAGGCCCAGAACCACUGAUGCUGAGUAACACCCUUGGCCUUCUGGUCUCAGUUGCUAUGGCCUUGGGCAUGCUAGGACAGGCAAGUGAGUUUCACUGGGGCAUGUGUUGUUGGGUGGAUGUUUCAGCUUCUUUUCUUUUUUUUUUUUUUUUUUUUUUUUUUGAGACAGACUCCUGCUCUGUCUCCCAGGCUGGCAUGCAGUGGCACGAUCUCGGCUCACUGCAACCUCCACCUCCCAGGUUCAAGCAAUUCUCCUGCCUCAGCCUCCCUCCCCAGUAGCCGGGAUUACAGACAUGCGCCACCAUGCCCAAGUAAUUUUUGUAUUUUUAGUAGAUAUGGGAUUUCUCCAUGUUGGCCAGGCUAGUCUCAAACUCCUGACCUAAAAUGAUCCACCCGCCUUGGCCUCCCACGGUGCUGGGAUUACAGGUGUAAGCCACCCCGCCUGGCCUGUUAUGUUUUUUAACAUUGGUCUUUCGGCCACCAAGAGCCCAGGAAGGCCACACGCACAGCUCUGCCAGGUGCAGCCCAGAUGUCCAGGGCUCUCUGGUCCAGGACACCGUGGCCUGGUCUGCCCUUAUCUCCAGGCCUGAAGCCCCACCUGUCCAACCUGGAGACAGCUAUGCAAGGUUCUCUUGCCAGGUGCUGUUUAAUCUUGGGCCCUCCAGGGCCUGGAGCAGCUUCCAGGGCCAGUCCUCCGUGCCCCCACCCAAGGACGUCCUCACUCCAGCAAGCUCAGCCACAUGCUCAGCAGUCAGGGCCACUGAGGCCACAGCCCCACCGCCACCCACACCAGGCUGUCCUAGAGGGCCACCCCAGCCCUGGAAGCCCUCUCAACCCUUCCUAGAGGCCCAGCCAGUGGCAACAGACCUUGGAGGGGACACUUCCUCUAGAGGCCUUGCUUGGCCUCAGCCAGCCCAGAUAAUAGCCCAGGAGCAGAGGAAACAGGCAGCAGAGUGACAGAGACGGAGCUGGGCUUCCCCGAUAGCAGGGAGCUGCCUGGGUAGCGUGGGGUGCACAGCCAGUGGGGUGGGCUAUUUGCUACCACCACCCCCUAUUUACUAAUGGAGACACUCAUUAGCUCACAGGUGCCCUGUAGGAAGCUCCACGUCUGUUUUCUCAUUUGUAUGAUGAGAGGAUAAAGAGGUGGUAUCCGGGAAAGAAAGGGGCUUUGUGUUAUGCGUGUCCAUGAGGACAACACUGUACCCCCGAGUUUGGCAGGAGAGGAGAGGCAGGCAGUUUACCAGGGCAGCUCGAGGUGCAGUCAGCCUCCUUCCCUGCCCCCACCUGGGACCCCUGAAGGGGUGGCAGGUUGUGGGAGAGAACCACAGUGACAGAGGUUGGUGGGCAGCACGACUCGGGUAGGCUGAGCACCUGCAACCCUGGGCAGGGAGGCUGGCUCCCCUCCUACUGAGUGUCUGUUCUCACAGACGUGACCACAAGCACCCAGCCCCUCCACCUUCAGCAAGCAGCUCCCUGGAUGCACCCUCCCUCCCAACACAUCUCCACCUCCACCUCCUGGGCAUUGCUGUCAUCAUGGGUCCUGCUCCCUGCUGCCCAUCUGGUGCCUCUCCCAGCCUCCCAGCUUGGGGGCUGCACACGGUAGCCCAUGGCCAAGGUGCCUGUAGGGUGGAAGGCAAGCUGCUCAUCAGCUUCAGAGAGCCCACUGACCUCCAGGCAUCCUCUCUUGUCCCCAACAUUCCCCCCCUACUCCUGCUACCCACCUUGCUGCGGCAGCAUGGGAUUGUCCCACCCUCCACCCCUAGGGCUAUGGGGCUCACCCCUAGGGCUAUGGGCCUCCCUCCGCCUCCCACUUGAGGCGCCACUCCCACUGCCUCAAGGGUCAUUUGCUCUAUGAGGCCCUGCUUUGACCUUCUCCCUGACCUCUCAAGAGUGUGGCCUGCCUGAGUCAGCAGUGGGGGCUGACCCCUGGGGACCACUACGCAGGAAGUGCCUGGGAGCCAGGUAUUGAUGUGGUUCAUGGCAGGGCAGCUCCACGCGGUGAUGGAAUGCGGACUCCCUGUAGGUGGCUGAGAGGCAGCAGCAGUCCACACCUCACCAAUUCUUGUGAGGGCUGUUACCACACCUGGGGUGGGCAGGCAGGCAGCAUCGCGCAGGGCACAGAGGCCCCCUAGACUCCACGCAGUGGGGCCUCACCAUCACAGGCGUGGCUUCCCUGCACCAAGGGGCAGAGGCCCAGGAGCAGGGCCUGCCGUGGCAAUGGCCCCCAUCCCCACACCCUGCUGGUGUCCCCACUUGAGGCCCCUCACACCCAGCCACCACUGGUCAGGCCUCACCAGCAUCUUCUCCCCUCCACAGCUCACCUAGACUCUUCCCCCAGGGAGCCCUCCUGGAAUGAGCAAGUGCUGUGCCAGAGCCCCUCUCCCUGUCCAUCAGAUGGUCCUAAAGUGACCUGAGCUCUUCCUGGGAUGAGGGUGUGCCCAGGAGGGGGUCAAGUCUGAAAGGAUGGUGGGGCUGGGCCCCGGCAGGAAUGCUGGGAGCCAAGCUUCCCGCCAUGGGGUUUCCAGACUAAAUGGCAUCAGGCAGCACCCAGAGAGCAGGUACAAAGGCCACACUGUGCGCCACAUGCCAUCGGCCAGGCCUCGCCCUCUGUGCUGCCUCUGUGGGGAGCGCUUCUUCCCUUCCUCUUCAGAUUGCUGGCUCCUUCUCAGUGCUCAGUAACACCUGCCUCAAGGCUGGGCACAGUGGCUCACACCUGUAAUCCCAGCACUUUGGGGGGUGGAGGCGGGUGAUCACCUGAGGUCAGGAGUUCGAGACCAGCCUGGCCAACAUGGUGAAACCCCGUCUCUACCAAAAAUACAAAAACUUAGUCGGGCGUGGUGGCAGACACCUGUAAUCCCAUCUACUGGGGAGUCUGAGGCAGGAAAAUCGCUUGAACCUGGGAGGCAGAGGUUGUGG
rnacentral:lncRNA from 1 species